rnacentral:lncRNA from 1 species
AGUCAUUUAUUUCGCGCUGAUUAUUUUGACGUGUUCAUUUUAUUUUUUUCGAGCAUUUUGGUGCCCGACUUUUAUUUUUUUUGAGUCUAUUUAUUUUUAUAUUGGGUCUAGAAUAAAUAAAUAGGUUAAUUAGUUUUUAUUUUAAUUUUAACUAUUUUAAUUAUUUAACUUUAUUCAGUUUUUAAUUUAAUAUUGGGUUUCAAAAUAAACUUAGGCCCAUUAUCA